rnacentral:rRNA from 1 species
UACAGAGGCCUCGAGCGUUAGGCGGAAUCACUGGGCUUAAAGCGCGUGUAGGCGGAUCGUUAAGUGUCUUGUGAAAUCCCACGGCUCAACCGUGGAACUGCUGGGCAUACUGGCGAUCUUGGGCCACUCAGGGGCGACCGGAACAAGCGGUGGAGCGGUGAAAUGCGUAGAUAUCGCUUGGAACGCCAAAGGUGAAGACAGGUCGCUGGGGGUGUGCCGACGCUGAGACGCGAAAGCCAGGGUAGCGAACGGG